GACGAACGCUGGCGGCGUGCUUAACACAUGCAAGUCGAACGGAAAGGCCCUGCUUUUGUGGGGUUCUCGAGUGGCGAACGGGUGAGUAACACGUGAGUAUCCUGCCCUUGACUUUGGGAUAACUUCAGGAAACUGGGGCUAAUAUCGGAUAGGAGCUCCUGCUGCAUGGUGGGGGUUGGAAAGUUUCGGCGGUUGGGGAUGGACUCGCGGCUUAUCAGCUUGUUGGUGGGGUAGUGGCAUACCAAGGCUUUGACGGGUAGCCGGCCUGAGAGGGUGACCGGCCACAUGGGGACUGCGGGACGGCCCAGACGCCUACAGGAGGCAACAGGGGGGAAUAUUGCACAAUGAGCGGGAGCCUGAUGCAGCAGCGCCGCGUGCGGGAUGACGUCCUUCGGGGUGUGAACCGCUUUCGCCUGUGACGAAGCGUUAGUGACGGUAAUGGGUAAAGAAGCACCGGCUAACUACGUG
rnacentral:rRNA from 1 species